rnacentral:rRNA from 1 species
AUGGUCUUAGCUUGCUAAGACUGAUGGCGACCGGCGCACGGGUGAGUAGCACGUAUCCAACCUGCCGUCUACUCUUGGACAGCCUUCUGAAAGGAAGAUUAAUACAAGAUGGCAUCAUGAGUCCACAUGUUCACAUGAUUAAAGGUAUUCCGGUAGACGAUGGGGAUGCGUUCCAUUAGAUAGUAGGCGGGGUAACGGCCCACCUAGUCUUCGAUGGAUAGGGGUUCUGAGAGGAAGGUCCCCCACAUUGGAACUGAGACACGGUCCAAACUCCUACGGGAGGCAGCAGUGAGGAAUAUUGGUCAAUGGGCGAGAGCCUGAACCAGCCAAGUAGCGUGAAGGAUGACUGCCCUAUGGGUUGUAAACUUCUUUUAUAAAGGAAUAAAGUCGGGUAUGCAUACCCGUUUGCAUGUACUUUAUGAAUAAGGAUCGGCUAACUCCGUGCCAGCAGCCGCGGUAAUACGGAGGAUCCGAGCGUUAUCCGGAUUUAUUGGGUUUAAAGGGAGCGUAGAUGGAUGUUUAAGUCAGUUGUGAAAGUUUGCGGCUCAACCGUAAAAUUGCAGUUGAUACUGGAUAUCUUGAGUGCAGUUGAGGCAGGCGGAAUUCGUGGUGUAGCGGUGAAAUGCUUAGAUAUCACGAAGAACUCCGAUUGCGAAGGCAGCCUGCUAAGCUGC